GGAAACAGAUGCUAAUACCGGAUAACAACAGAUGAUGCCUAUCAACUGUUUAAAAGAUGGUUCUGCUAUCACUAUUGGAUGGACCUGCGGUGCAUUAGCUAGUUGGUAGGGUAACGGCCUACCAAGGCGAUGAUGCAUAGCCGAGUUGAGAGACUGAUCGGCCACAUUGGGACUGAGACACGGCACAAACUCCUACGGGAGGCAGCAGCC
rnacentral:rRNA from 1 species